GAUGAACGCUGGCGGCGUGCCUAAUACAUGCAAGUCGAGCGAACAGACGAGGAGCUUGCUCCUCUGACGUUAGCGGCGGACGGGUGAGUAACACGUGGAUAACCUACCUAUAAGACUGGGAUAACUUCGGGAAACCGGAGCUAAUACCGGAUAAUAUAUUGAACCGCAUGGUUCAAUAGUGAAAGACGGUUUUGCUGUCACUUAUAGAUGGAUCCGCGCCGCAUUAGCUAGUUGGUAAGGUAACGGCUUACCAAGGCGACGAUGCGUAGCCGACCUGAGAGGGUGAUCGGCCACACUGGAACUGAGACACGGUCCAGACUCCUACGGGAGGCAGCAGUAGGAAAUCUUCCGCAAUGGGCGAAAGCCUGACGGAGCAACGCCGCGUGAGUGAUGAAGGUCUUCGGAUCGUAAAACUCUGUUAUUAGGGAAGAACAAAUGUGUAAGUAACUAUGCACGUCUUGACGGUACCUAAUCAGAAAGCCACGGCUAACUACGUG
rnacentral:rRNA from 1 species